CCUACGGGGGACAGCAGUGGGGAAUAUUGGACAAUGGGGGCAACCCUGAUCCAGCCAUGCCGCGUGUGUGAAGAAGGCCCUCGGGUUGUAAAGCACUUUCAGUGAGGAAGAACGCCUGGUGGUUAAUACCCAUCAGGAAAGACAUCACUCACAGAAGAAGCACCGGCUAACUCCGUGCCAGCAGCCGCGGUAAUACGGAGGGUGCGAGCGUUAAUCGGAAUUACUGGGCGUAAAGCGCGCGUAGGUGGCUUGAUAAGCCGGUUGUGAAAGCCCCGGGCUCAACCUGGGAACGGCAUCCGGAACUGUCAAGCUAGAGUGCAGGAGAGGAAGGUAGAAUUCCCGGUGUAGCGGUGAAAUGCGUAGAGAUCGGGAGGAAUACCAGUGGCGAAGGCGGCCUUCUGGACUGACACUGACACUGAGGUGCGAAAGCGUGGGUAGCAAACAGGAUUAGAUACCCUAGUAGUC
rnacentral:rRNA from 1 species